GCCAGACUCCUACGGGAGGCAGCAGUGAGGAAUAUUGGUCAAUGGCCAAGAGGCUGAACCAGCCAAGUCGCGUGAGGGAUGACGGCCCUACGGGUUGUAAACCUCUUUUGUCGGGGAGCAAAGAGAGUCACAUGUGGCUCAUUGAGAGUACCCGAAGAAAAAGCAUCGGCUAACUCCGUGCCAGCAGCCGCGGUAAUACGGAGGAUGCGAGCGUUAUCCGGAUUUAUUGGGUUUAAAGGGUGCGCAGGCGGUGUGAAAGCCGGGCGAAAAAACCGGGGCGCCCCCCCCGGGCCCGCCGUUGAAACUGGCAGUCUCGAGUUGGAGAGAAGUAUGCGGAAUGCGCGGUGUAGCGGUGAAAUGCAUAGAUAUCGCGCAGAACUCCGAUUGCGAAGGCAGCAUGCCGGCUCCACACUGACGCUGAGGCACGAAAGCGCGGGUAUCGAACAGGAUUAGAUACCCCUGUA
rnacentral:rRNA from 1 species